UACGUAGGGGGCAAGCGUUGUCCGGAAUUAUUGGGCGUAAAGAGCGUGUAGGCGGCCAGAUAAGUCCGCUGUGAAAUCUCGAGGCUCAACUUCGAGCUGUCGGUGGAAACUAUCUGGCUAGAGUCCGGAAGAGGAGAAUGGAAUUCCUGGUGUAGUGGUGAAAUGCGCAGAUAUCAGGAAGAACACCCGUGGCGAAGGCGGUUCUCUGGGACGGGUACUGACGCUGAGACGCGAAAGCGUGGGGAGCGAACAGG
rnacentral:rRNA from 1 species